rnacentral:ncRNA from 2 species
ACAAAAAUGGGUGAUGGAGCUCACCCAAACUGCCCUCACCAAGGGAUAAUGGCUCCUGCGAAUCG